rnacentral:lncRNA from 1 species
CCCGCGUGGGGGGGACGGGAAGAGGGGCCUGAGUCAGCGGCUGUCGUCCAGGAAAACAGGCUGGAGUCACCUGCCGUAGAGUGGGGGUGCCCUGGCCAGCCCUGGCCUCCUGCAUCUGUCAAUGGUGACCUCAGAGGGCAUUUAUGGAGCGAUUAGCCAGUGCCAGGCCUGCCUUGUGCCCAGCCAGUCACCAGCCGGCUAUGCUGUGACCCCGGGAGAUGAAGAAACUGAGGCCACAGCCAAUGAGACACGAAUGUGGUGUGCAUCUCACCCUUCCCCGUCGGCUUUUUGAGGAUGGUCCUGGUUGAGUGAGAACAAAGGUGGCGGAGGGAGCCGUGGACUGGUGCCAAAUGAGCAGCCCAAGCAGGACACUGGGGCCCCCUGUGAGUGGCCAGCAGCCCCCACCUCCCUCCCUGCCUCUUGCCUCUCGUGUGUGGCUCUGCCACCUGCACACCGUCACCUCAGUCUGGUCGGGAGUGGAAUGGACACCGUCACCUCAGUCUGGUCGGGAGUGGAAUGGACACCGUCACCUCAGUCUGGUCGGGAGUGGAAUGGACACCAUCACCUCAGUCUGGUCGGGAGUGGAAUGGGACACGGGUUGUCGGAACUUGCUGGGCUUCACAGGGGCCACUGUGUGGCCCUUUGGGGACCAGAUGCCCAGAGCCAGUCUAAA